GCCAUGGCGGCGAGCAGGGUUGGGCGUGGAGUGGGCGUCGGGGACCAUCCACCGCCAUCCUUCGUCGCUGGGGCUCCCCUGCUGCUCGGCUCCGCCGUAUGGGCGCCCUGGGGGCAUCGCGUCCGGCGGCCGCGCUUCAGUGCGCUUCGAAGGCUGCGAAGGGCAGCGCGGCCUUGCCACCGCCCUCCUCCUCAGGCCGGGCCAAGCCCGGGCAUCAUCCUGGUGUAGAAGGUGGUCCUGGGAUGGCUGGUGAUGGCCUCAACUUUGGGCAGAGGUCCUGGUUGUUCCAGAGCUCACCAAAUCUGAUGGAUAAACCCAGCAAUAACUGUGGAAAAAGAUGAAAACUUGUGAGCCCUGUCCCACGGGCUUGCUUACCAUAGGACCCGAGUUGUGGGAAAGCUGCAGUGUGGAGCAUGUCUAAGCAGAGGGUGAGCCAUCUCUGAGGAACUUGGUGGUGCAGUGCCAGACUGUUCUUUCCCAGACCUCCAGAAGUGGGAACUCUGCAGAGCCAGAUCCUAGCUCCUUCCUGAGCUAUGAGCUCCACCGAGUGGGAGCAGCUGCUUCUGGGAUCCAGUUACCUGCAGUGGAGGGAGCUGGAACUGGUUUGUCUCCAGGUGUUGCUGAAGCUCCCAUCCAGAUGCUCCACAUUGAAGAGCAGUCUGUUUCAUGGAGUUUUCUCAGGAAGGGGUCUGGAUAUUAAAUACUUGAUUAGAGCAGGGAGCCAGUAAUGCCAAGGUGGUGGGUUUGAUCCCUAUAUGGAUCAUUCACUUAAGAGCUGGACUUGGUGGUACAUGUAGGUCCCUUGCAACUUGGAAUAUUCUGUGUGUGUGGUAAGAGUUUGAAUAAAUGCAAUUACUUCAAAUCCUUGUA